rnacentral:rRNA from 1 species
AUUGAACGCUGGCGGCAGGCCUAACACAUGCAAGUCGAACGGUAGCACAGAGAGCUUGCUCUCGGGUGACGAGUGGCGGACGGGUGAGUAACGUCUGGGAAACUGCCCGAUGGAGGGGGAUAACUACUGGAAACGGUAGCUAAUACCGCAUAACGUCGCAAGACCAAAGUGGGGGACCUUCGGGCCUCACACCAUCGGAUGUGCCCAGAUGGGAUUAGCUAGUAGGUGGGGUAAUGGCUCACCUAGGCGACGAUCCCUAGCUGGCCUGAGAGGAUAAGCAGACACACUGUAACUGAGGCCCGGUCCAGACUCAUACGGGAGGCAGCAGUGGGGAGUAUUGCACAAUGGGGGCAAGCCUGAUGCCGCCAUGCCGCGUGUAUGAAGAAGGCCUUCGGGUUGUAAAGUACUUUCAGCGGGGAGGAAGGCGGUGAAGUUAAUAACUUCACCGAUUGACGUUACCCGCAGAAGAAGCACCGGCUAACUCCGUGCCAGCCGCCGCGGUAA